GAUGAACGCUGACAGAAUGCUUAACACAUGCAAGUCAACUUGAACUUCGGUUUGGGUGGCGGACGGGUGAGUAACGCGUAAAGAACUUGCCUCACAGCUAGGGACAACAUUUGGAAACGAAUGCUAAUACCUGAUAUUAUGAUUUUAGGGCAUCCUAGAAUUAUGAAAGCUAUAUGCGCUGUGAGAGAGCUUUGCGUCCCAUUAGCUAGUUGGAGAGGUAACGGCUCACCAAGGCGAUGAUGGGUAGCCGGCCUGAGAGGGUGAACGGCCACAAGGGGACUGAGACACGGCCCGUACUCCUACGGGAGGCAGCAGUGGGGAAGAUUGGACAAUGGACCAAGAGUCUGAUCCAGCAAUUCUGUGUGAACGAUGAAGUUUUUCGGAAUGUAAAGUGAUUUCAGUUGGGAAGAAAAAAAUGACGGUACCAACAGAAGAAGUGACGGCUAAAUACGUG
rnacentral:rRNA from 1 species